CCCUUAGAUGUUCUGGGCUGCACGCGUGCUACAAUGGCGCUUGCAACAAGAUUGCCAACCCGAAAGGGUGAGCGGAUCUUUGAAGUGGCGUCGUGAUCGGGACAGUUGAUUGCAAUUAUUCGACUCGAGCGAGGAAUUCCUUGUAAUCGCGAUUCAUCAUAUCGCGCUGAAUACGUCCCUGCCCUUUGUACACACCGCCCGUCGCUCCUACCGAUUGAGCGAUCCGGUGAAUGUUUUGGACUGGUGUCCGCAAGCGUUUCGCUUCGGACGCUACGAAAUUUUGUAAACCUUAUCGCUUAGAGGAAGGAAAAGUCGUAACA
rnacentral:rRNA from 1 species